rnacentral:rRNA from 1 species
UGCCAGCAGCCGCGGUAAUACAGAGGUGGCAAGCGUUGCUCGGAAUCAUUGGGCAUAAAGGGCGUCUAGGCGGACAGGUCAGUCGGUUGUGAAAUCCCUCGGCUUAACCGAGGAACUGCAGCCGAUACUGCCAGUCUUGAGGAUGAGAGGGGAGAGUGGAACUCCUGGUGGAGCGGUGAAAUGCGUAGAUAUCAGGAGGAACGCCGGCGGCGAAAGCGACUCUCUGGCUCAUUCCUGACGCUGAAGCGCGAAAGCUAGGGGAGCGAACGGGAUUAGAUA